rnacentral:tRNA from 1 species
UACCUGGAGGACUAGUGGUUAGGCCAUGGCGCUCUCACCACUGUGGCCCGGGUUCAAUUCCCAGCCAGGGAA